rnacentral:tRNA from 1 species
GCUAGCGUGGCAGAGAUCGGCAAAUGCAA